GUCGAAGCCUCGGAUAUCAGAGGACCAUCACUACUGGUAGCAUCUCUGGCUGCUGCUGAUCUUGUUUUUGGAGUAAAACACGGUGGAAGCUGAAUUAGUGAGGAUGACUCCUGCUCCUGUCAUCUCUAAGCUCCUCACACAUCUUUACCUGCACAUGAGGAAAAUCACUCCUGUAGAAUGCAGAUGUUCAGAGGGAGAUGAUGCCACAUCUGGUCCAGCUGAUGGAAGGUCUUGAAGUUCUCUGACUGGCCUCGACUGAAGAUGGUCGUCCCACUGGAUUUAAGGUUCAGAUGCUCAGUAACAAACUCCACCAAUGUGCCAACAGGGAAGCUUUAGGUUUAUUAAAUGUUGCUAUGAAGGUAUCACUGUUUUUCUUUGUGAAUGUAAUGUGCUCCAACUGAAACUUGAAUUAGAACUUAGAAGUAAAUCCUUCCAUCUGAAAGGAUUUAGUUGCAUUAAUAACCUCAUAACAUUCUAAUUUUUAUUCCAGUCUUGGUUGGAAAUAGAAUCUCUGUAUUGAUUCAGGUAAAAACUGAACUUCACAGCAUGUUGAAGCAAAACAACCAGAUGAAAACUGUGAUGGUGUUGGAUUGUCAGACCGUAAUGUUGCAGCUCAAAGCAGCUUUUCUAGCUCAGUUCAUUCUGACAUUCAGCUAUGAAUCAACACAGCAGAUGGUGAUCCAUGCUGUGGAAGUCUCACAUCUCCUGAUUUAAUGGAGCUGCUUUGCACUUUUUACACUGUUUAUUCACCAACACUUUAUUUAAUAAAAGUCCCAUCGAGUUUUUAUGAGGAUUGUGAUGUUUUAAUUUCUCUGUGAAUAACUGCAGUCUAAUGCAACAGCUGGAGUUGUAACAUCUGUCAUGAUAUUGAUCAUGAAAUAUUGAUCAGAAUACUUAUGGUCAGCAGUCAUCCCUUAAGUUUUAUAUUAAAAUCUUUACUUGUGUUGUGAACUUUGGUAAGAAGCAGAAACGUUAGCGUUGCCAUGGAUACAUGAGUGUUAAAUUCUGUCCAUGUUUCCAUUUUGGGAUAUGCAGUCCAGAUCCAGAAUGUGGAGGAAUUUAGUCUCACAAUCACAGACAACAAAUAUUAUCUGAAAGUCGGGUUAUUGUUGUUUAUCAGCACAAUACAAAAAGAUUAAUGUUAGAAAUAUUCCAGUUAAGACUCUAGAAUAUCAUGAUUUAUGUAAAUUUACCUCAAUAAUAUGAACGUUCAGGUUAAGAUUGUACAGUGAUAUUUAUUAUGUAAGUUUAGCUGAUUAAAGUUUAUGACUCUGCACUAAAAUAUUAUUUAAAUUGACAUCAUUAUUAUAAUAUUUAGGGUCAGACUCUACAGUAUUGAGAUUAAGAAAUCAAAUAUUCUAUAAAAUGUAAAUACGCUGAACUCAUUUGGAUAUAUUUAAGUGAGACUCUACAAUAUUAUUUGACACAAAUCUAUCUAAAUCAAAAUUUUAAUAAUUUUCACACCAAACAUUUACUGGACUGAUUUAAAUAUUAAAAUCACUCCUUUCUAAUCCUCUGCUGUACAUUCAAACCUGAGGCCUUAAAUAGAAACACACAAGUAUCUGAUUGAAGGAACUUCUGCAGAGUCCUGGUUCCAGAACAUGAUGAUAGAAUUAUAGACAAACUUUAACAAAAGCUGCCUGAGAGUUUACAGGUUUUUAUGUUGGAUUUCUUCAGGAAUUUAAUGAGAGUUAUCAGCAAAAAUCAAGUGUACAUUUGAUGAACUUAAUUUCCUAAAACAUCCAGAAUUGGAGCUCAUAUCUUUGACAGCUGUAAAGUUUCUGCUCCUUCAAAGUUCACAACACAAUGAAUGAAUUCCUAAAACACUCUCAAUGCUGGAGAGCGUUUGUGAUGCUGAAGCAGUGAUCAGUUUUUCUGUUUCUUCUCUGGAGAUGCACAAUGAGGGACGUCUGCAGAGACUGAGAAAGAGUCUCACCACAUCCUGACAUGAGGAAAAAGACUAUUGAAGACUACAAUGAGGAAAAAAAAAAAAAAAAAAGACUACAAUGAGAAAAACUAUCAGACAGCAGACAGCUGCAUUCAAGGUGAGCUCUGAACAUUUGAUCUGGAACAGGAAUUCAAUAACGGCAGCAUGAGCUUCAUUUCUGUCUGUAGCUGCUGAAUUCAUGGAUGAAUCAUCUGGCACUAGAGAAGAAGACCAUCAAACAUCCACGUCAGCUGAUGGAGGUCCAAGAGUCUCACGGAACAACCAACCUACAGAGUGAAGACCUCGAAUCUGAUUGGACAGCCUCCUAUUCAGCCACAUUUUAGGCUGUUAGAUUGUUCCAGAUAAGACAAGUACAAGAUUCUUCAGAGCCGUUCUACCACGAGCCUGACAGGAAGAACUCCAACAGCUACUGAAUGUUCCUGUGGUUCCCUCAAGGCUACAGGAGGAGCCCUACGAGGACGAGCCGGUCCACCUGAUGGCGGCCAGUCGCUGCGGUUCAAAGCCAACACCGACUACGUGGACUUCUACUGGACCACAUGGAGGCCUUCAAACCGGACCAACAAGUUCACAGACUCCCUGACUCGUGGGUCUGAGGACGCCGCCGAGCCUCGGUCCAGCUG